AGGACACCCACCCGUACGAGAGUUUUAUUGAGUUUUAUUUUGUAAUCAACCUAAAAUACAAAGACAUUCAAGCAGUGCGAUGCAUGAGGAGUCUGCCAUGCAGACCAGCGAUCCUGAUCCUGUUGUCGGCCUUGGAUGAUGAGGUCCAGUUACCAGGAUAACUACUCUGCAGCUCACUGAUCCCAUCCUGCAGCUCAUCCAUGCCGUCCUCCUCUCAACAGACCAAAUCAAGAAAAACUAAGCAGGAUGCUACUGUGGAUCUGCUCUUCAGAUUAGCUCUGCUGUGAUUAACAAUCUGCCUUCAUCGCAGUCACAGCCAACGGGGAAGAUGGUCUUAAGGUUAAUUGCGAGGCAGAGGUCCACUGUUGCCUGGAUAUCCGGGAUCACGUCACUGGUGGGACACAAUUGUACUGGAUUUCAGCUGAAGGCUGCUGUUCUGUCCAAACUGUCAUGAGACAUUGACAUUUUUAUUGUGAUAUACCCACCACUGUUGUUAGUUUUUGUUUCAAUAAAUAGUUUGAGAUGAGGAAAUCACUAUUGCAUGCUUCUACUUAAAUGCCCUACUUUCAUGAUUUGGUAUCACCAUAGCAUGAAUUUUUUACAUUUUCCAUAAAUUUCACCCAAAAGUUGAAUAACUAUUUGUGAGCGGUGUAUGUAUACACGUCAUCUAAGCACACUUCAAUAAUAUAUCUGCUGCAGUAGUGCAGUUUAUCUAUCUUGCGUGGUGUGAUAUGUUCAAAAGCACCACUAAUUAUCUGUCAAAAUGUGUGUAACAGAAGUGUGCACUGAACACUGAAUAAAGUCUGUAGAUUAUAGACAAAACACGCAUCUUUCAUCACAAAUUUCUGUUUAUUCCCCCAACGUGCAAGAGUUAAAAUACAAAACAGGUGAAGUUAAAUAACUAAAAUGUAAAAGAAUUUACAAAAAAGAAGGUUUUUUUUUUUUUUUUUUUAAAAAAGAUCACAAGUAGUGGAUAAUGCAGUUUAUUUCUGUGACAGUCUCUACAGCACUGACACCGUACGUCCCAUCAGUCCAACCAAGGUGUUUGAAUUUUCAUCCAUCCUCUGGAUGUUCUGGAGCAUAGCAGUGGUCAGGUCUUGGUCUCUGGAUGUUCUGGAGCAUGGCAGUGGUCAGGUCUUGGUCUCUGGAUGUUCUGGAGCAUGGCAGAGGUCAGGUCUUGGUCUCUGGAUGUUCUGGAGCAUGGCAGUGGUCAGGUCUUGGUCUCUGGAUGUUCUGGAGCAUGGCAGAGGUCAGGUCUUGGUCUCUGGAUGUUCUGGAGCAUGGCAGUGGUCAGGUCUUGGUCUCUGGAUGUUCUGGAGCAUGGCAGAGGUCAGGUCUUGGUCUCUGGAUGUUCUGGAGCAUGGCAGAGGUCAGGUCUUGGUGUCUCCUCAACUGUUCCUCUGACCUCUCCAGAUACUGCAGCAGAUCCACAGUAGCAUCCCGCUUCCUUUUUCCUGCAUAAAAGCACCCAAAAAGGUAUUAGUUGUUAGUAAUUACUUUCUAUAUUCAUAAACACAGUUAAAGUAAAUGUUCUGUUUUGUGAUUUUAGGAUGGGCUGAAAGUUAACAUAUUGAUCAUGUUGUUGUCCACACAGUCUAAA
ensembl:lncRNA